rnacentral:lncRNA from 1 species
UGGUAUGCUUAUACGACAAAGAAGGAAAAUGGAAGAUGGAACCAGGGCUGGCUGCCAUUCUCAUCUUGGAACAUAUACUCUUGCUUCUGAAAUUUGGACUAUCUCGUCUUGUUCCUGAAGAACCUGCUUGGGUUAGAGCCAAUCGUGUGAAGAAUGUGACACAAGCACAAGAGGUUUACAGUAAACAGCUCUUGAGAAGCAGUUCUAGUGAAUUUGCCUCCAUGGUAAAACCUGAAAAAGACGACAACAACAAGAACUGAAGCAAUCUUGACCUGAAUAUAUAGAACAAGAACAACAACAACAUAAGUAUUUUUUAUGUGACAGUUUGAUCUUUUGUUUGCUUUUUUUUUUUUUUGCAUAAAACAUGUGAUGUUAUCUUGAAGACUUUUAUAUAUCUCCAACUCUGUUAAUAGUUUAUAUUAUGUAUCUCCUAUACAUGUUUCAAUUGCUCAAGUGUGUCAUUUUACAGUGUGACAGAUCUAUCUCCUCCUGUUAACGUUCAAAUAUGAGGAACUCAGUUUUAAUAUUUAUGUUAUGAUCAUGGGUUGAACUCUAGAGAACGGCCUCCUAAUAUAUUCAAUCUUUAUGUUUUCCAUCAUCAACAAACAAAUGCUGUCCUAUAUUUUCUAUCCUUCAGAAAAGUUCAUUAACCAAAUCCUUUGUAGAAUAUAAAAUCACUAAAUAAAUUUAUUAAAGGGCAAAUAUCCAAAAUAACACCUUUCUAAGUUUAUAUCACAAAAAUAGCACUCAAAAACUAAAAUAACCAAAAUAGCACCUUUCUAAGUUUAUAUCUUAUCCCCAAAACCUCAUUUCUCAAUUCUAAACCCUAAACCCUAAACUCUAAACCCUAAACUCUAAACUCUAAACUCUAAACCCUAAAUCCUAAAUCCUAAAUCCUAAAUCCUAAAUCCUAAAUCCCACCCUUUAACCCUAAACCCUAAGUUUGUGACUUUUGAUAAAACAUUAAGUGUUAUUUUUGUGACUUUUGACCUUGAGUGCUAGUUUGGGAACAAAAAUCUGUGUUAGCAAUUUUUUCCAUGACAAUUUCUUUAUUACGGUUUCAGGUUUGUUUUGACAGCUGUCUACCUUCUAAUCAUUCAGUACCUCACGAGGUUGGGAGGCAAAGUGGCUGUAAAGCUGAUAAAUCGAGAGAUCAACGAGAGUGUGGAGUAUCGAGCUAACAGUUUGAUUUACAAAGUAAGGGACAAGGUUAUUUUUGUGUUCAUCGUUCCUUGUUUCUAAUCAUUGCUAUAUUGCAGGUUUUUGGGCUCUAUUUUAUGCAGACUUACAUUGGUAUCUUCUACCAUGUUCUGUUACACCGAAACUUCAUGACACUACGACAAGUAUUGCUCCAACGGUUUAUAAUCACACAGGUAACAAGAAGAUGCCACUUCGUUACAUACUCUACUUUGAAAAUGUUGAUAUCAACAUAUGUUUGAGACUCAACUUUCUUCAGGUUGUCUGGACCUUUAUGUAUGGUUCUUUGUCUUACCUUAAGUACAGCUACAGAAAGUUUAGAGCUAGGUACACCCUUUAUUUCAUUCAUGCACCCAGUGUCAGGAAUCUUGAGAAAUACCAAAACUUCUUUUUAUUUUUCCAGGAAGAAGAAGAGAAGUGAAGGUGGACCAUCAACAGGAAAAAUACAAAUAGCGUCAAGAGUUGAGAAGGAAUACCUCAAGCCUACAUAUUCAGCAAGCAUUGGUGUAGAACUUGAAGAUGGGCUAUUUGAUGGUACUCAAAGUGUGAUUGAUUAUCUUUAGAUGCAGCUUGAAAUGUGAAAUUGCAUUUUGCUUGUGCAGAUUCACUCAAGCUGGCCUUGCAGUUUGGAAUGAUCAUGAUGUUUGCUUGUGCCUUCCCUCUUGCUUUUGCCCUUGCUACAGUGGUAAGUAACAGUUAACAUGUUGCCAAUCAAUUUCAUAUCUAGCUUUUGGAUUUUCCGUUGAAUAUAAGUUGGUGUACAGAGUAAUAUAAUGGACAUAAGAACAACUGCUUUAAAGCUAUUGGUCACACUGCAAAGACCUUCUCCUCGUGCCGCUGCAACCAUUGGAGCUUGGUUAAACAUAUGGCAGGUGACUUGGAUAGUAAGAAAAAUGAGCUUUAUCAUGUACUGCUAUUUUGAUCUCGCUGCACUGAGUGCUUUUUUUCGUGUGUUUCAGUUUUUAGUUGUAAUGUCUAUAUGCACAAACUCGGCGCUCUUGGUAUGUUUAUACGACAAAGAAGGAAAAUGGAAGAUGGAACCAGGGCUGGCUGCCAUUCUCAUCUUGGAACAUAUACUCUUGCUUCUGAAAGUUGGACUAUCUCGUCUUGUUCCUGAAGAACCUGCUUGGGUUAGAGCCAAUCGUGUGAAGAAUGUGACACAAGCACAAGAGGUUUACAGUAAACAGCUCUUGAGAAGCAGUUCUAGUGAAUUUGCCUCCAUGGUAAAACCUGAAAAAGACGACAACAACAAGAACUGAAGCAAUCUUGACCUGAAUAUAUAGAACAAGAACAACAACAACAUAAGUAUUUUUUAUGUGACAGUUUGAUCUUUUGUUUGCUUUUUUUUUUUUUUGCAUAAAACAUGUGAUGUUAUCUUGAAGACUU